GCGGGCCGUGGGAGCGGGAGCCCGGAGAUGGGUACUGAGACAAGGACCCAGGCCCUACGGGGCGCAGCAGUCGCGAAACCUUUGCAAUACACGAAAGUGUGACAGGGCUAUCCCGAGUGCCAUCCGCUGAGGAAGGCUUUUACCCAGUCUAGAACGCUGGGGGAAUAAGGAGAGGGCAAGUCUGGUGUCAGCCGCCGCGGUAAUACCAGCUCUCCGAGUGGUGUGGACGUUUAUUGGGCCUAAAGCAUCCGUAGCUGGCUGAACAAGUCCCCUGUUAAACCCACCGAUUUAAUCGUUGGUCUGCGGGGGAUACUGCUCGGCUAGGGGACGAGAGAGGCAGACGGUAUUCCCGGGGUAGGGGUGAAAUCCUAUAAUCCCGAGAAGACCACCAGU
rnacentral:rRNA from 1 species